CUCGCCUCCCGACCCCGCCGCGGCCCCGGAGUCACAGGCGCGCCUCCGCGUCGCUGCCUCCAGGGACUCUCCCAGGAGAGGCCCGCGCGCUCCCGGCCUCGAGGAAGUUGCGGCCCUUGGAGGGGCCAGCUGCUCCACGCAUCCACUGACCCGGGACCCGCCUCCUUCCCCCCGCGCCUGGGGGUGCGGGGCGGCGGGCAAACCACCAACAACUCUGCAGCGGGCGCCCCUGACCAUCUCUAGGAGUCCCUUUGAAGGGCAGAGGUGCGACAACGUUGAAUGCGCCUUAGCUCCCUUGGUGGGCAAGACAGCGUGCGCACACUCCAGCUGUGCCCGCACCUGCCCCGCGCCCUGCCGGAGCCACAGGUGGCCUUGCCAGCGGGGCCGGCGCUCGGAAGCCACUGAGAAGCGCGAAUUUCGGAGUUGGUGCCCCCCACCCCCGCAACGCUGAGCUCAGCACUUUCCCUUGCGGUUUUGGAUCUAGGAGCAAAUUCCGGUUUCCAGCAGUGCGUGCGGAGGAGUCCGGGCGGCCGCGAGCGGUGAGGAUACGCAGUACCCGAGCGCAGGGCGCCGGCCCGCUUCCCUGCCCUGGAUCUCGCGCCUGACUGCGCAGUUGUCGUCUUGUGGCUUCCCGGAGAAGGGGCUCCGCGAGGUAGGGACUGCCGGUCGAACUCCGCCGCAGCCAGCGCAGGCCGCCUGUGAGCGCGCUCCGGCACCUCCCUGGCUCCGGGAGGAUUUAACGCUUUCCUCACCCCCACGAUUUCCGAUCCUCAGUUACGGACCCGGGAGAAUUACUCCGGGACUUGAAAGGGAUUACUCAGAUCGCCGAAACACCGCUAAGUGGAAGUGGGAGAACCCAACAAGUAACAAGAACAGAAACUUUCCUUAAACCAGAUUUCCCGGAUUUUGCGGGAAAGUGUACUUGAGAUCUAGUUAUCUUAUCUUCACAGCGGCAGCCGCUGUUCUCGGAUCCGCAGAACAGGUUCGAAUCUCGGGGCUUGAGCGGUAGCAUUACGGGGCGUUUGAAGCGCGGGUGUAGGACACUUCAGUCCCUAAAGCCUAACUCAGCAGACUCCCAGGCGGGCAUCGUAAUUCCCCCCAACACACACCCAGUCAAGAUACACACACACGCGCGCGCGCUCGCAUGUCUCUCGCGUAUCCCCAUCACCGAAAGUGCCCAGGUGCUCGGAGGCAGACCUCGAAGUUUCCCAGGUGGGAAGAAUAGUGGUGUCAGCGUGGAAUAGUGAAGGAAGAACGUUCCCCACCACCCCGUGUGUGCCCUGUGGGAUCUGUUCCAGAGUUCUUUUUACUGGACAAAGCCUGGGACCCCUGUUACACUUAGAAAGGGCAUCCACAGGCUCUGUGUACAAGUGGGAAAAACACUUAAGACGUGCUAGUUAGACGGACCCA
rnacentral:lncRNA from 1 species